rnacentral:rRNA from 1 species
UACGGAGGGUGCAAACGUUGUUCGGAAUUACUGGGCGUAAAGCGUGUGUAGGCGGCUACGCAAGUCGGAUGUGAAAGCCCUGGGCUCAACCUAGGAAGUGCAUUCGAAACUUCGAAGCUGGAGUCCUGGAGAGGAAGGCGGAAUUCUCGGUGUAGAGGUGAAAUUCGUAGAUAUCGAGAGGAACACCGGUGGCGAAGGCGGCCUUCUGGACAGUGACUGACGCUGAGACGCGAAAGCGUGGGGAGCAAACAGG